AUCCAGGUCAGAAACUUGUGUCUUCCAGCCUCAAGAUCUGGAUCCCAGGGACUCAUGGCUCUCUCUCCAAGAAAGAAGUACCUGGGACACCCAUCAGCACAGCAAGGCCCCUGCUAACCUCCAGGCUCCCUCACUCCCUACUCACCAGCACUUUUUAAAAAACAAAGAUUUUAUUUAUAGCCAGG